GGGAAGGGACACUUAGCAAGGCCUUAGUUCUCCACCUCACUACAACCUCCUUUCUCCAGGGUAUGGGGCAGGGCCCCU
rnacentral:miRNA from 1 species